rnacentral:lncRNA from 1 species
UGUUUGCUUCAAGCUAACAAGGUGCCUUCUGUUUCCCUCGUGCACUUCCACAUCAGAAACACUGCUGCUUACAGAAGAGGGAAAGGAGAAAUAGUUUCUCUAAUCCUCCUCAGGUUUGCUGUAAAUUUAAUUUCAACAGCCUACCCACUCAAUCUGCUUGAAGACCUAGUGCAGCUGGAAACUACUCAGUCACUGAGGAAGAUGACAGCAUUGACUUCUCAUCAUCAUAAAGUCUGGUGUAAGAUUCAUAUCAAAUUCCAGUCAAGUCUUCAAAAAAUGAGGUUACAUGUCUUCCCAAUGUUCAGCCACAGUGUCGGACAAAAAAGGCAAAAUACACAAUAACAUCACAGAACUAUAUUGCAUUCUUGUCCACAUUCUGACAGGAGUUGUGGUUACCACUUUCAUUCGAUGAAAAGUGCUGCGGUAUCCACUCUGAGCUACCUUAGCAUUUACCUGGUUUUCAGGGAUCAGAUUCUUCUGAAGGUUGAAGCUAAGUAUCGAGUCAUGAUCAACAGAUUUACCAUUCAAUUUUUUGAUCAGUACGUGUUUUUCCAGAGCAUGGGUGAUUAGGGAUGCACUAAAGUAUUGACUGCUUUGUUAAAGCUUUCAAAUUCAGUUUUUUUUAACGUUAUUGAUCCAAGGCUGAGAAUAGUACACAGACCUUGGCAAAAUGGCCAAAAAUAACAGCUACUGCCUGAACUGCUUCUAGUGGUGAACUGAUACAGGAUUUAAUCAUAAGGAUAAUUGAUGUCUCCAAGUGGAUCUGAAAAUAAGACUAUUUCCAAUUUCCUAAAUUUUACAGUACACACAUGGAAGCUCUGCCUUUCCAGAGGAAUACAGACACUGUGCAAUAUGGAAUAGAUAACAGUUGGUGCUACCAAGUGCAAGAAACAUUGAAGCAAAAAUAUGAAGGGUAGCUACUAAACUCCCAUUCAUUACAUUUUUAAUGGAUCCAAGAACUCUGAAGACAGCAAAACAAUAAUUACUAACAAUACAUUUGUAACAUGCUGAUCAACUACAUAUGUACACAAAAUGGGAAAAGCAGUCCUCUCUGUUAUCUCUUGCGUGCCAUCAAGGGAACACAAAAUGUAAAUAUUCAAUUCUAACAGAUGUCAAACCUCAUGAAUAUAUCAAUUUUCAUCCCUGAACAGAUAUUUUUAACAGCCCAGUGGGAGUGUACACAUUUAAAAAAAAAAUCCACAUGUUCCAAAACUAAGAACAUUUCUUAUUUGUAAGAGGACCACUGCAUUAGAAAGAUUAUUACAAGAAAAUACUCAUGGGAGAUGUCAAGCUUUCCUUUGUAAUUAAAUUUUAUUUGAAACUGAAACAAAAGACUUCCUAAAAGAGAUGCUUGUAAAGCUUUCAGAACAGUUUUCACUCCCAACAGCCAUGCAAGAUUUAGAAAACAUUUACAAUAAUUGACUUUGUUCAAAAGCAGAGAACUAUUUUGGUUCUUCCUUUCCAGAAAAAAAAAAUAAAAAAUCAGUGUAAUUAGACA